UCCAGAAGUAAUUAGAUUAGUUUUAAAC
rnacentral:sRNA from 1 species